GACCUAGAUCCGAACGCAGUGUCUCAGCUGCCAUCGGACCAGUCCAAAUCCUCAUUGGAAUAAUGUGCUUCUAGUGAAUCAGCCUACCCAUAGUUAUGAAAGCUGUUAACCCUUCUCGUAUUUGCUUACCAGGCCUUGUGCCAGGCGCUUUCUGGAAGAACCACAUAGGGAAAGUGCUCCUGUCGCUCAGGACUCAUCUUCUCCAGAAGGAAGACAUUUUUGAGAGAGACAGAUUCUUUUCUCCCCUGAGCCCAUAACUGGCUUUCUCCAUCACGUGGGUCUCUGGAGGGCUAGGAGCACAUCUGUCAACCACCAGAGUCUCCGUGGAGAAAGGCUGGAGCACAUUCAAACUGUAGCUUGGAUGUUGGAGAAUGCUGUCUUACACCGGAUGCUGUCUCGAAGGGAGCUGGAGAGGGGAAAGGAGGCGGGGCCAGGCGUGGGAUUUUGAAAAGCCUUUCCUCAGAGACGAGAGCAGAAAGUGGAGUGCUUGCUUAGCUUCGUGCAGAAGAUGAAGAGCUGAUGGCAGAGUGAAGGUAAUGUGUUCAGAGUCUCAUAGCUCUAUGUCCAGAUGCUGAAGAGUGGAGAAAGUCCUUGAUGAACAUGUGGCAGGACAGAAGGAGAAGAAUAGGAGAUGGGAAGACUUGGUGCAAAUUCUAGUUCUACAAGUUUAUUUUGAGCAAGUUACAUAAGUUGUCAAAGCCUUUCUGUACCUAUGAAAUUGUGAUUAUGUGAUCUAUUUUCUGGGAUUACCAUCAGGAUUAACUGAUAUGCUGUGUAAUGCCUGGCAGAUUGUGGGCAUUAACUAGGUGUAAGCUC